UAUGUGAUCGUCUCUCGCAUAUCAAUAAGCGGAGGAAAAGAAACUAACAAGGAUUCCCCUAGUAACGGCGAGUGAAGCGGGAAGAGCUCAAAUUUGAAAUCUUAAAGGGUUUCCCUUUACGAAUUGUAGUUUAAAGAAGUGUUUUCUGUUGAGGUUUUGGUAAAAGUUCUUUGGAAUAGGACAUCAUAGAGGGUGAGAAUCCCGUAUUUGACCUUUACUUUCAACUUUGUGAUACACUUUCAAAGAGUCGGAUUGUUUGGGAAUGCAGUCCAAAAUGGGUGGUAAAUUUCAUCUAAAGCUAAAUAUUGGCGAGAGACCGAUAGCGAACAAGUACCGUGAGGGAAAGAUGAAAAGAACUUUGAAAAGAGAGUUAAACAGUACGUGAAAUUGUCAAAAGGGAAGCGUUUGACGCCAGUGUUGUUUUUCUGAAAAUCAAUUAAAGAACUGUUUAUGCUAAGCUGUUUAGACUUUAUCAGCUAACUGUUUAGUUUUGAGCUUUUCUUUAAUGCACUUUUCAGUUAACAAGUCAACAUCAAUUUCUUUCGCUGUAAAAAAGCUUGAGGAAGGUGGCUUGAGAUUCGUCUUAAGUGUUUAUAGCCUCUUGCCUAUGCAGUCGGAGAGAUUGAGGUCUGCAGCGUAGAUCCUUCGGGGCUAAAUGCAUUUGUGCUAAGUUAUAGCAUUUUAUAGACAACUUGUUGACUAUGAUUUGUCUUGUAGCUUACUCGCUUAUGUUAUUUUACCUACGCUUAGGAUGUUGAUCUCUCACAGUCGAGC
rnacentral:rRNA from 1 species